UACGUAGGCGGCAAGCGUUGUCCGGAAUUAUUGGGCGUAAAGGGAGCGCAGGCGGGAAACUAAGCGGAUCUUAAAAGUGCGGGGCUCAACCCCGUGAUGGGGUCCGAACUGGUUUCCUUGAGUGCAGGAGAGGAAAGCGGAAUUCCCAGUGUAGCGGUGAAAUGCGUAGAUAUUGGGAAGAACACCAGUGGCGAAGGCGGCUUUCUGGACUGUAACUGACGCUGAGGCUCGAAAGCUAGGGUAGCGAACGGG
rnacentral:rRNA from 1 species